rnacentral:rRNA from 1 species
UACGUAGGGGGCGAGCGUUGUCCGAAGUUACUGGGCGUAAAGCGUGCGCAGGCGGUAAGUUAAGUCUGAUGUGAAAGCCCCGGGCUCAACCUGGGAAUGGCAUUGGAAACUGGCUUGCUGGAGUGUGGCAGAGGGGGGUGGAAUUCCGCGUGUAGCAGUGAAAUGCGUAGAGAUGCGGAGGAACACCGAUGGCGAAGGCAGCCCCCUGGGCCAACACUGACGCUCAGGCACGAAAGCGUGGGGAGCAAACAGG